UUUGGGAUAGAGAUUCCAGAAAUUGUACAUGAGAUUGAUGAGAUAGCUGAUCUUCCCAUAGGAUUUCUUCCUAUGGUAGUUUGAAUCUAUGUCCUCAAACUCAAAGUAUGGAACCUGAGUGUCCUCCCCUAAGUGUGUGUUGAACUAGCUGACUUGCUUCUAACAAAGGGAAUAUUGCAUGAAUGAUGGUAUGUGACUUUAAGGACUAGGCAUUAAAGGCAUUGCCCUCUCCUGUAUGCUCACUUUAGGAAAAUGAUCUUGCAUGACACAAGAACAAUCAAACAGCCCCGUAGAGAAGUCCAUGUGGUGAGGAGCUGGGACCUCCCGCCAACAGCCAUGUGGAAGAGCCACUGCAGCCCCAGUGGAGCCCUAAAAUGACUGAAACUCAUUGUCUAGGCAGUGACUGCGACCUCCUAAACAACCCUGAAUCAGAACCAUUCAGAAAUUUUCUAGGGUCUCAAAUAAGACUGGAAAAACAUGGAUAGUAGAGGAUCCAGCCCCCCUCAUGUUUUUCUUCUCAGAUUCUAGCACAGUCUAGGUAUUUGGUCAUCUUCCUGUAAGGAAUGAAAUGUUGCUGUGUGAGACUGAUGUUUUCAUACAUGCUGGGAAGUUUCUCCAAGAUUUCUAAGAGUGACUGGAGCCACUACAGUCAGAUUCUUAACCCACCACACCACAGUGGGAACUCCUGGGUGAGGAUGUUGGAUUGAUUUGAAUGGUAAGUAAUUUGUCUAUUUGACUUUCUUCACGUAAUUUUAAGAAUAUUCCUUGUUUUUCUUUUUCAAGUUUCUAAAGAUAGCUCUUAACAUCAUCAGUGACUUUACUCAAAUUAACAUCUGACCUAUAAUCUCAGUCUCCACUUUGUGAUUCACUCCUUUUUUUCUAAUUUCCUGUUGUAUUACUGUAUAAUCCUCCAUAAAGAGAGCAGGUGAGUGAUUUUCACACAGAUUCAGUCAUAAUUUAAUCAGUUCUUUUUAUCAUUUACAACCUUGUGUGUUAAAAUUUUCAAGCGUUUCUUUCUGUUCCUUCAGCUUUACAUAGAUAGGCUUGCCUUCUUGUUCCUUUAUCCUACCAUUAAUACCUUUUGGGCAAGCAGCUGUAUGUUUUCCUGAACAUUGUCUUCAAAACCAUUAACUAUUUUCCUCUGAUAUUUUUCUGCAUUUUUCUAAGAUGCCCUGAAGAUAUUUUUGGCCUCAAUCCCUUGGGCCUGGAGAGAUUUUGAUGUCUUUUUGAAUGGCUAUGUCUGUCCUUCAAGAUGAGUGGUUGUCACUCCAUGAAGUAAAAUUUUAGGAACUCUUCUGUUCUUGGUUGAAAAGGUCUAUCUACUAUAUCCCCCAGGGAGAAGGUGGACCUGUUUGCAUCUCUACUAACUGCUGUCAAACAGAGUUUAUAACUUCAAAGGACUGGCCUAUCACAGGUGACUCCAGGGUUCCAAAGUCUUCUGUAAUGAGCCUAAUCUUCCCACUGGGUUUAUGCUACUUUUCAACUAGGACAGGAAAAUCUUUGGCUGGCUUAUUUUCCCUCCGAGUACACUAGCAUUUUACCUUAUAAACCAUCGAAGCAGUACAUAUCAGAAUUUCUAAGGAAAAUUAAAAGACUUGAGCCUUGUGUCCAUAGUUCAGACAGCAGCAUCACAGAACAGCUGCCACAGAACUAGCCAGAAGGACAUUUCUGUGACCACCAAGAAGCCCUCCCUGGGUCCAUUGGGCACCACAUCUCAGUUUCUGGCCAGUAGCAGAAGGGCUCCAACUGCCUUCUUGGAACUCUGUGAUUGUUCUACCCCAAACUCUCAAGUCCUGACAAUCCACUACUGGGGCUACUCUAGGGGUUCACAUUAAUGAAAUAUUGCUGUGUUUGUCUUGAAACUGUGCAAUAAGAGUUCUUAUUUGUACUUAACAUUGAGAAAAAGGCCACCUGCUUCAGCCAGAGCAGGGCAGCCCAUGAGCCAUGAGCCCCCCAGGCCCACCUGGCCCUUUGAGAAAACUGGGGGAUCCCAACACAGCUGUGCCCUAAGCAAACCUCCAGAAAUGAGGGGAAAGAAACCUCUGUCUCUGAUCCUGGUUCUACCUCUUCAAUAGCUUCAGGAUCCAGAGCUUCAAAAUUCUAACCACUAUUUGAGGAAAGGAAUGCAGAGUAUAAAUCAUCUUCCUAGGGAGAUUUUUAUUUAAGUUCACUGUUCUCUGGGGCCGAACACCCUAUUAGGCUGUUAAAUCUCUUUUGGCUCAUAUCCUUAAGCUUAGACAGGUUAAAUGGCUUGUCCAAGGACAUACGCUAUUAAGGUGCAGGGCUGGAUUCUGCAUCAAAGUAAUCCAACUCCAAGUACAGUUCAUUUUUAUUUUGUAAAUAAUUUAGUUUUUAUUUUGUAAAAUUCAUAUUUUAUAUGAAUACCUUCUGCUCCCUCUUCUUUUUAAAACAUGGAUUUAAUAAAUAAUUCUAAAGCCCUUGUGAAAGCAAAUAGGGACCUGAGUGGCUCCCGGGUACAGAAGUCUUUCUGGGUCCUCCAUUUCUUAUUUUUAGGAAAGGAACCUCACUUAGCCUUCACGGCCUUUCCUAAUUUCCAAGGGGCAGGUUCAGAGAGUUGCUAAUCAGGCAAGGGAAGGGAUGUAAAGACAAGGGAGGAACAGUUAAGCAGCAAUUGUACAGCCUUAGGGCAGGAUCCUGGUCCCUCUCAAAGGAGACACAUAAUGAUGUAGGCAUCUUAUACACCUAAGAGAAAAGUUAUGUUCCUUAUGCUCAUUUAGAAAUGAGUAGCCUAGAAACGAAUAUUUUAAAAUUGAACAACUUGGAGUCCUUCCUCUGCUUCUCCCUCAUUGGAUUACCCCCUAAACACAAUCACCUGUGAGCUAAAGGCACCGUGACCACAAUUGCCUGUGGGUUAAACAUUACAAGCACUUUAUAUUUUUCAGGAAUCUUCCUAGGUCUAAUCUCUGAUCAAUAUGCUCUUUUUGCAAAAAACUGUUAUUCCAGGAAAAGUCAAGAUGCCAUAACCAAGAAGAUGACCACAAGGAUCAUGUUGAAAUCUCCUGACACCAGCUUUGAUGACUAAGAUUCCCCAAAGAAAGAAGAAUGCAAGUCUGCCCCAACCUUGAUUUUUUAUCUGAAGCCCUGUUUUCCUCCUUUUAGGUUGUAAAACUACAUGCAAUUCUUAUCUUUCUCCUUUAGAAGACCACAGUCUUUGGGCAUUAGCUUGCUAUGGCCUCCUUUGCCUGGCAAAGCAAUAAUUAUAUAUUUUUUCCUUUACCCAAUACUCUGUCUCUGUGAUUCUUUCUGGCACCAGUGGGCAGUGGACAGGGGCUGAGUUUCAGCAACACAUACAACUAAAAAAUGCUAUAAUUCCUUCAUUAUUAUUGCUGUGUAUUAUAAAAGAAAAUUUGACCAUUUCAGGGCCCAGAAUUUCAAAAUUCUGUAGCAAGUAUUAUUUACCCAUCUACUUAAUUAGCUUAAUGGUGUUAAGUUCUAAUGUCUGUUAUUCACUUCUUUAGUACGUCUAGCUACACAAUCUCAAAAGCAAUAUGGAGCAACAUUUUAUUAAAUACUGACUAAUAACCUGUUUUUCUUUUUAAAAUUUUAGUCCAUGAGACUGUUCAAAAGAUUAUUUUCAGAAGGGAUUGGAAUAUUGCUAUAAAUAAUUUAAUAUCUUGACAUAGGAAUUUCCUUUGUGGUCAGUGGUUAAUGAACCUGACUA